rnacentral:sRNA from 1 species
UCGGUAUCCGUGAUCCGACAGUUGAAAAAGAGAAACACUUGCCUCAUGGUCCAAACUUAAAGUCAAACAGUACGUAUUAAAGCUCCAGGACAACUUUGCAGUAGAACAGAGAACCGAUGUACAAACGUGAGGAGGUUUGGUCGAUUCUAUGGAUCGCCUAAUAAGCCUCCGCAAGGAGAAAACAGAUAGGAUAUGGGUAGUUGCAAGCUUUAUAUUGCCGUGGUACAUGCAAAGUUAUCCAUGC